UGAUCCAGAGGAGAUACCUGAGCUCUGAGCGUCAUGAAGCUGAACUCGACUGCUGCUCUUCUCUUUUCUCUGGCUUUUCUCUCACUGGUUCGCUGUCAGAGGCCUGUGAACUGUAGGUGGG